CAAUAGCGUAUAUUUAAGUUGUUGCAGUUAAAAAGCUCGUAGUUGGAUUUCGGAUGGGAUUUGCCGGUCCGUCGUUACGAUGUGCACUGGCCAGUCCUAUCUUGUUGUCGGGGACUAGCUCCUUGGAUUCACUUCCUGGGACUAGGAGCUGACGAGGUUACUUUGAGUAAAUUAGAGUGUUCAAAGCAAGCCUACGCUCUGAAUACAUUAGCAUGGAAUAACACGAUAGGACUCUGGCUUAUCUUGUUGGUCUGUGAGACCAGAGUAAUGAUUAAGAGGGACAGUCGGGGACAUUCGUAUUUCAUUGUCAGAGGUGAAAUUCUUGGAUUUAUGAAAGACGAACUUCUGCGAAAGCAUUUGGCAGGGAUGUUUUCAUUAA
rnacentral:rRNA from 1 species